CCAACCCAGCCGCGAGCGACGCGUGGCGCGGUCCCUUCACGCCAAGGGGCUACCUCGCCCGGCUUUGUUUGUUAAUGGGGCGAGAAUCUCCAGGCCCGAGGGACUGGAGGGACGAGGAGGCAGAGGAAAGGAAAAGAUGAUGCCAGGAAGUCCAUUCCCUACUUUCUAACUUUUUAUAAAAAAUGGUCUCAGCCUCCGGUGCCAUCGGCAACGAAGGUCAAAGGAGUCCUAGCUUAUUCCUUUUCGUUGAAUGGUAUAAAUAAUUCAAACCUAGAAUCUGGGAGUCAAGAGAAAAAAAAAAUGGUGAAAGGAUCCAGAGGUAACUGUGAAGGUUGAAACAGAGGUAGAGCCAGAUUGCUACCACUAUAUACUUAAGUUCCCUUUACGGGCCUUCUCUCUGCACGUUUGCAAGGCAGAUAGGAAAGAAGUGUGAAAAGAAGUGCCACAGAAAACAAAUCAUAAAUGUAAUUUGUCCUAGUUUGGAUGCAGGAUUCUGCAAGACAUAUCAAAGUUUGAACUUUCCAAAAUUACCAAACACAGAUCGAUGUCACCUUUCAUGCAGCCAAGGGAAAGGUUUUGUUUAUGUAUGUGUGUGUAUAUAAAUUCAUACACACACACGGUAUUAUCUUUUAGCGUUCCGUGGGGAUAACUUCCAGAGCUCUGGAAUUUGUCCUUCAGGAUUCAUGGACCGUACUACCUUUUCGAGAAUGUCAGGUUGAAUGCCGCUGAAUACUGAUUGUAUAUUCUCUGGGAAGUUUGACCAAACCAACCUGUUGAAGAUGACAAGAGGUUGAGGUGUUCUUUGUGCAUGUGAGCAGUGGCUUACAUAAGGCCUGAAGCACCUUCAGAAACCCACCUCUGCUUUAACAUUCAGCUCCUUAUCUAGUUCAGGUGAUAUUGUUUGUUCUACCCGAGCAUCUUUGUGGAUCCACCUGACUUCCAAACCCCCCUGAAUUCACACAGGACCUCAAAAAGAGCCAUCCAAAGCUGCAUUGGGAUGCCGCAGGUUAAAAAUGCCGUGGUUAAAAUUACUGCGACUUAAAGAGGCCAUGGAUGAAAGAAAGAUGCCUCCUCUUCAAAAGAGGCCACCAGAUGAAGAUGAUCCAUCUUAAAGACACCAUGGAUAAAGGAUUCUUCCUCUUCAAAAAGAGGCGUGGAUAAAUUUGCCGCGUCCUAAAGAGGCGAAUAAAUUUGCCGCGUCUUAAAGAGGCCGCAGAUAAAUUUACCACGUCUUAAAGAGGCCGCGGAUAAAGAUGCCGCAGACUUUGCGGAUAACAGAUACCUUCUCUUCAAAAAGAGGCCAUGGACAAAUGGAUGGAUCUAGAAAGCAUCAUAUUAAGUGAGAUCCUUCAGCUGGCGAUGGAUGGAGAUGGAGACGGAGACCCACACUGG